GUGCCAGCCGCCGCGGUAAUACGUAGGGUGCGAGCGUUAAUCGGAAUUACUGGGCGUAAAGUGUGCGCAGGUGGCUGAGCAAGUCGAGUGUGAAAUCCCCGGGCUUAACUUGGGAAUUGCGCUCGAAACUACUUGGCUCGAGUGUGGCAGAGGAAGGUGGAAUUCCAGGUGUAGCGGUGAAAUGCGUAGAGAUCUGGAGGAACACCGAUGGCGAAGGCAGCCUUCUGGGCCAACACUGACGCUCAUGCACGAAAGCGUGGGGAGCAAACAGGAUUAGAUACCCCCGUAGUCC
rnacentral:rRNA from 1 species